rnacentral:rRNA from 1 species
GACGAACGCUGGCGGCGUGCUUAACACAUGCAAGUCGAACGGAGUGGCGAACGGGUGAGUAACACGUGGGUGAUCUUCCUUGCACUUCGGGCUAAGCUUGGGAAACUGGUUCUAAUACCUGAUAGUGCACGAUGAGCUCGCGGCCUAUCAGCUUGUUGGUGGGGUAAUGGCCUACCAAGGCGUCGACGGGUAGCCGGCCUGAGAGGGUGUACGGCCACAUUGGGACUGAGAGACGGCCCAGACGGGUACGGGGGGCAGCAGGGGGGAAUAUUGCACAAGGGGCGGAAGCCUGAUGAAGAGAGGCCGCGUGGGGGAUGAAGGCCUUCGGGUUGUAAACUACUUUCGACAGGGACGCGGUACCUGUAUAAGAAGCACCGGCUAACUACGUGCCAGCAGCCGCGGUAAUAC